GACGAACGCUGGCGGCGUGCUUAACACAUGCAAGUCGAACGAAGUGGCGAACGGGUGAGUAACGCGUAAUCAACCUGCCCUUCAGCGGGGGAUAACAGUUGGACACGACUGCUAAUACCGCAUAUGGAAGGAGGGGAUUGCGUCUGAUUGGCUAGUUGGAGGGGUAACGGCCCCCCAAGGCGAUGAUCAGUAGCCGGUCUGGGAGGAGGAACGGCCACAUUGGGACUGGGACACGGCCCAGACUCCUACGGGAGGCCGCAGUGGGGGAUCUUCCGCAAUGGAAGAAAGUCUGACGCGGCAACGCCGCGUGAGUGAUGACGGCUUUCGGGUUGUAAAGCUCUGUUAAUCGGGACGCGGUACCGGAAUAGAAAGCCACGGCUAACUACGUGCCAGCAGCCGCGGUAAUUC
rnacentral:rRNA from 1 species